rnacentral:rRNA from 1 species
GAUGAACGCUGGCGGCGUGCCUAAUACAUGCAAGUCGAGCGAACAGACGAGGAGCUUGCUCCUCUGACGUUAGCGGCGGACGGGUGAGUAACACGUGGAUAACCUACCUAUAAGACUGGGAUAACUUCGGGAAACCGGAGCUAAUACCGGAUAAUAUAUUGAACCGCAUGGUUCAAUAGUGAAAGACGGUUUUGCUGUCACUUAUAGAUGGAUCCGCGCCGCAUUAGCUAGUUGGUAAGGUAACGGCUUACCAAGGCAACGAUGCGUAGCCGACCUGAGAGGGUGAUCGGCCACACUGGAACUGAGACACGGUCCAGACUCCUACGGGAGGCAGCAGUAGGGAAUCUUCCGCAAUGGGCGAAAGCUUGACGGAGCAACGCCGCGUGAGUGAUGAAGGUCUUCGGAUCGUAAAACUCUGUUAUUAGGGAAGAACAAAUAUGUAAGUAACUAUGCACGUCUUGACGGUACCUAAUCAGAAAGCCACGGCUAACUACGU